AGUUGCUCAUUCAAUCAAUUAUGAAAGCCUGCGCUAAUCCGCAAAUAACGCUCAUAAUACCCGAAUGACGCCAAAGAAAAGGUGCCUAUCGUUCACCCCAUCGAUAAUCGCGGCGAAAGCACGUUAUCAAGCAUCGAACGACACGUUGAGUGAGGCACCAAC
rnacentral:sRNA from 1 species